CAGCCAGGAAGUAAAGGCAGGGCUACCAGACCAGACAAGGAGAAUGUUGGGGAAAGGACACAGAGAGGCUUCGAGGGAGAUGCCAUGUAGCUGUUGAAACAGUAACAUGCCAGAUACAGGUCCUUCCUUCACUGAAAUAUUGGAAUCCUCAAAGUCAUCUAUGGGGGCUGGAGACAUGGCUCAGUGGUUAAGAGGCUGCUCUUCCAGAGGUCCCAGGUUCAAUUCCCAGAAAUCACAUGGCAGCUCACAACUGUCUAUAACUCCAGCUGAUCGGCCAUCCUCACACAGACAUACAUGCAGGUCUCAGUGAAAUGAUACGUGCAUUCUAGUAGGCAACUAGAAACAAACCAACAGAACCAAGCACUUAACAAAUGUAUCUCACAAAGCCAUUUGGGUAGAAGAUUCAGUCGGUCACUUACUGGAAUUGGUGCUGUCAUCCUUGGUUCCAUCGAGAGCUCCAUCGGGGUGCAUCUGCAAGUAGUACCCUUGCCUGCAGUAUAACCUGGUCACUAUGCCCUUGAGCUGGGGAUCUGAAAGGCAAACACAGGGAUCAUCAACUUUAAAAUGCUGCAAAAGAGAGUUGUUUUCCCUCUCUUUAAAAAAACCCAAUAUUUCUUUUUCAGAAGACCUUUUGUAGAGGUUGUACAUUUAUCUCUCUCAGACUUAUUUGUGUCAUGAACCACCACAAUUAAAGGAGAUAUCAUAAUAAUCUUCAGAAAAUGGGCCAUUUGAUGAAA